GGCUAAUUAUGUAGAGUGUAGAAAAGAAGAGCAUCAAUGGGGUCUGCAUCUGCAAGUGCGGGUGAUUCACCGCCCCCAUCAAGCCCCGAUGCCGCCCAAAACAACAUCCAGGUCCCUUGCGUUCCCUUCCGUUUGUGUUUAUUUAUGCUUUAUUAUUUCUAUCUCUACAAAUCUUGUCUAAUUUUAUAAUUAAGCAGCAUUUCUUUGUUCUUCACAGAAAAAUCAACUUCUGGUGGGAAAGCCCGAAAGAGGCUCGACCUAUGCCCAACAAAGCUUAAGGAAGGCGACGAGGGCUGCUUGCGAAUGGAAGCAUUUCAGUUAGUUUGGUCAGGAAUCGAAUCCUCCAUCAAGG
rnacentral:lncRNA from 1 species